ACUCCUACGGGAGGCAGCAGUGGGGAAUAUUGCACAAUGGGCGCAAGCCUGAUGCAGCCAUGCCGCGUGUAUGAAGAAGGCCUUCGGGUUGUAAAGUACUUUCAGCGGGGAGGAACGGUG
rnacentral:rRNA from 1 species